rnacentral:rRNA from 1 species
GGGUUGUGAGGUUAAGCGACUAAGCGUACACGGUGGAUGCCCUGGCAGUCAGAGGCGAUGAAGGACGUGCUAAUCUGCGAUAAGCGUCGGUAAGGUGAUAUGAACCGUUAUAACCGGCGAUUUCCGAAUGGGGAAACCCAGUGUGUUUCGACACACUAUCAUUAACUGAAUCCAUAGGUUAAUGAGGCGAACCGGGGGAACUGAAACAUCUAAGUACCCCGAGGAAAAGAAAUCAACCGAGAUUCCCCCAGUAGCGGCGAGCGAACGGGGAGCAGCCCAGAGCCUGAAUCAGUGUGUGUGUUAGUGGAAGCGUCUGGAAAGGCGUGCGAUACAGGGUGACAGCCCCGUACACAAAAAUGCACAUGCUGUGAGCUCGAUGAGUAGGGCGGGACACGUGGUAUCCUGUCUGAAUAUGGGGGGACCAUCCUCCAAGGCUAAAUACUCCUGACUGACCGAUAGUGAACCAGUACCGUGAGGGAAAGGCGAAAAGAACCCCGGCGAGGGGAGUGAAAAAGAACCUGAAACCGUGUACGUACAAGCAGUGGGAGCACGCUUAGGCGUGUGACUGCGUACCUUUUGUAUAAUGGGUCAGCGACUUAUAUUCUGUAGCAAGGUUAACCGAAUAGGGGAGCCGAAGGGAAACCGAGUCUUAACUGGGCGUUAAGUUGCAGGGUAUAGACCCGAAACCCGGUGAUCUAGCCAUGGGCAGGUUGAAGGUUGGGUAACACUAACUGGAGGACCGAACCGACUAAUGUUGAAAAAUUAGCGGAUGACUUGUGGCUGGGGGUGAAAGGCCAAUCAAACCGGGAGAUAGCUGGUUCUCCCCGAAAGCUAUUUAGGUAGCGCCUCGUGAAUUCAUCUCCGGGGGUAGAGCACUGUUUCGGCAAGGGGGUCAUCCCGACUUACCAACCCGAUGCAAACUGCGAAUACCGGAGAAUGUUAUCACGGGAGACACACGGCGGGUGCUAACGUCCGUCGUGAAGAGGGAAACAACCCAGACCGCCAGCUAAGGUCCCAAAGUCAUGGUUAAGUGGGAAACGAUGUGGGAAGGCCCAGACAGCCAGGAUGUUGGCUUAGAAGCAGCCAUCAUUUAAAGAAAGCGUAAUAGCUCACUGGUCGAGUCGGCCUGCGCGGAAGAUGUAACGGGGCUAAACCAUGCACCGAAGCUGCGGCAGCGACGCUGAUGCGUUGUUGGGUAGGGGAGCGUUCUGUAAGCCUGCGAAGGUGUGCUGUGAGGCAUGCUGGAGGUAUCAGAAGUGCGAAUGCUGACAUAAGUAACGAUAAAGCGGGUGAAAAGCCCGCUCGCCGGAAGACCAAGGGUUCCUGUCCAACGUUAAUCGGGGCAGGGUGAGUCGACCCCUAAGGCGAGGCCGAAAGGCGUAGUCGAUGGGAAACAGGUUAAUAUUCCUGUACUUGGUGUUACUGCGAAGGGGGGACGGAGAAGGCUAUGUUGGCCGGGCGACGGUUGUCCCGGUUUAAGCGUGUAGGCUGGUUUUCCAGGCAAAUCCGGAAAAUCAAGGCUGAGGCGUGAUGACGAGGCACUACGGUGCUGAAGCAACAAAUGCCCUGCUUCCAGGAAAAGCCUCUAAGCAUCAGGUAACAUCAAAUCGUACCCCAAACCGACACAGGUGGUCAGGUAGAGAAUACCAAGGCGCUUGAGAGAACUCGGGUGAAGGAACUAGGCAAAAUGGUGCCGUAACUUCGGGAGAAGGCACGCUGAUAUGUAGGUGAAGCGACUUGCUCGUGGAGCUGAAAUCAGUCGAAGAUACCAGCUGGCUGCAACUGUUUAUUAAAAACACAGCACUGUGCAAACACGAAAGUGGACGUAUACGGUGUGACGCCUGCCCGGUGCCGGAAGGUUAAUUGAUGGGGUCAGCGCAAGCGAAGCUCUUGAUCGAAGCCCCGGUAAACGGCGGCCGUAACUAUAACGGUCCUAAGGUAGCGAAAUUCCUUGUCGGGUAAGUUCCGACCUGCACGAAUGGCGUAAUGAUGGCCAGGCUGUCUCCACCCGAGACUCAGUGAAAUUGAACUCGCUGUGAAGAUGCAGUGUACCCGCGGCAAGACGGAAAGACCCCGUGAACCUUUACUAUAGCUUGACACUGAACAUUGAGCCUUGAUGUGUAGGAUAGGUGGGAGGCUUUGAAGUGUGGACGCCAGUCUGCAUGGAGCCGACCUUGAAAUACCACCCUUUAAUGUUUGAUGUUCUAACGUGGACCCGUGAUCCGGGUUGCGGACAGUGUCUGGUGGGUAGUUUGACUGGGGCGGUCUCCUCCUAAAGAGUAACGGAGGAGCACGAAGGUUGGCUAAUCCUGGUCGGACAUCAGGAGGUUAGUGCAAUGGCAUAAGCCAGCUUGACUGCGAGCGUGACGGCGCGAGCAGGUGCGAAAGCAGGUCAUAGUGAUCCGGUGGUUCUGAAUGGAAGGGCCAUCGCUCAACGGAUAAAAGGUACUCCGGGGAUAACAGGCUGAUACCGCCCAAGAGUUCAUAUCGACGGCGGUGUUUGGCACCUCGAUGUCGGCUCAUCACAUCCUGGGGCUGAAGUAGGUCCCAAGGGUAUGGCUGUUCGCCAUUUAAAGUGGUACGCGAGCUGGGUUUAGAACGUCGUGAGACAGUUCGGUCCCUAUCUGCCGUGGGCGCUGGAGAACUGAGGGGGGCUGCUCCUAGUACGAGAGGACCGGAGUGGACGCAUCACUGGUGUUCGGGUUGUCAUGCCAAUGGCACUGCCCGGUAGCUAAAUGCGGAAGAGAUAAGUGCUGAAAGCAUCUAAGCACGAAACUUGCCCCGAGAUGAGUUCUCCCUGACUCCUUGAGAGUCCUGAAGGAACGUUGAAGACGACGACGUUGAUAGGCCGGGUGUGUAAGCGCAGCGAUGCGUUGAGCUAACCGGUACUAAUGAACCGUGAGGCUUAACCUUACAACGCCGAAGGUGUUU